GGUUAAGCGACUAAGCGUACACGGUGGAUGCCCUGGCAGUCAGAGGCGAUGAAGGACGUGCUAAUCUGCGAUAAGCGUCGGUAAGGUGAUAUGAACCGUUAUAACCGGCGAUUUCCGAAUGGGGAAACCCAGUGUGUUUCGACACACUAUCAUUAACUGAAUCCAUAGGUUAAUGAGGCGAACCGGGGGAACUGAAACAUCUAAGUACCCCGAGGAAAAGAAAUCAACCGAGAUUCCCCCAGUAGCGGCGAGCGAACGGGGAGCAGCCCAGAGCCUGAAUCAGUGUGUGUGUUAGUGGAAGCGUCUGGAAAGGCGCGCGAUACAGGGUGACAGCCCCGUACACAAAAAUGCACAUGCUGUGAGCUCGAUGAGUAGGGCGGGACACGUGGUAUCCUGUCUGAAUAUGGGGGGACCAUCCUCCAAGGCUAAAUACUCCUGACUGACCGAUAGUGAACCAGUACCGUGAGGGAAAGGCGAAAAGAACCCCGGCGAGGGGAGUGAAAAAGAACCUGAAACCGUGUACGUACAAGCAGUGGGAGCACGCUUAGGCGUGUGACUGCGUACCUUUUGUAUAAUGGGUCAGCGACUUAUAUUCUGUAGCAAGGUUAACCGAAUAGGGGAGCCGAAGGGAAACCGAGUCUUAACUGGGCGUUAAGUUGCAGGGUAUAGACCCGAAACCCGGUGAUCUAGCCAUGGGCAGGUUGAAGGUUGGGUAACACUAACUGGAGGACCGAACCGACUAAUGUUGAAAAAUUAGCGGAUGACUUGUGGCUGGGGGUGAAAGGCCAAUCAAACCGGGAGAUAGCUGGUUCUCCCCGAAAGCUAUUUAGGUAGCGCCUCGUGAAUUCAUCUCCGGGGGUAGAGCACUGUUUCGGCAAGGGGGUCAUCCCGACUUACCAACCCGAUGCAAACUGCGAAUACCGGAGAAUGUUAUCACGGGAGACACACGGCGGGUGCUAACGUCCGUCGUGAAGAGGGAAACAACCCAGACCGCCAGCUAAGGUCCCAAAGUCAUGGUUAAGUGGGAAACGAUGUGGGAAGGCCCAGACAGCCAGGAUGUUGGCUUAGAAGCAGCCAUCAUUUAAAGAAAGCGUAAUAGCUCACUGGUCGAGUCGGCCUGCGCGGAAGAUGUAACGGGGCUAAACCAUGCACCGAAGCUGCGGCAGCGACACUAUGUGUUGUUGGGUAGGGGAGCGUUCUGUAAGCCUGUGAAGGUGUGCUGUGAGGCAUGCUGGAGGUAUCAGAAGUGCGAAUGCUGACAUAAGUAACGAUAAAGCGGGUGAAAAGCCCGCUCGCCGGAAGACCAAGGGUUCCUGUCCAACGUUAAUCGGGGCAGGGUGAGUCGACCCCUAAGGCGAGGCCGAAAGGCGUAGUCGAUGGGAAACAGGUUAAUAUUCCUGUACUUGGUGUUACUGCGAAGGGGGGGACGGAGAAGGCUAUGUUGGCCGGGCGACGGUUGUCCCGGUUUAAGCGUGUAGGCUGGUUUUCCAGGCAAAUCCGGAAAAUCAAGGCUGAGGCGUGAUGACGAGGCACUACGGUGCUGAAGCAACAAAUGCCCUGCUUCCAGGAAAAGCCUCUAAGCAUCAGGUAACAUCAAAUCGUACCCCAAACCGACACAGGUGGUCAGGUAGAGAAUACCAAGGCGCUUGAGAGAACUCGGGUGAAGGAACUAGGCAAAAUGGUGCCGUAACUUCGGGAGAAGGCACGCUGAUAUGUAGGUGAAGUCCCUCGCGGAUGGAGCUGAAAUCAGUCGAAGAUACCAGCUGGCUGCAACUGUUUAUUAAAAACACAGCACUGUGCAAACACGAAAGUGGACGUAUACGGUGUGACGCCUGCCCGGUGCCGGAAGGUUAAUUGAUGGGGUUAGCCGCAAGGCGAAGCUCUUGAUCGAAGCCCCGGUAAACGGCGGCCGUAACUAUAACGGUCCUAAGGUAGCGAAAUUCCUUGUCGGGUAAGUUCCGACCUGCACGAAUGGCGUAAUGAUGGCCAGGCUGUCUCCACCCGAGACUCAGUGAAAUUGAACUCGCUGUGAAGAUGCAGUGUACCCGCGGCAAGACGGAAAGACCCCGUGAACCUUUACUAUAGCUUGACACUGAACAUUGAGCCUUGAUGUGUAGGAUAGGUGGGAGGCUUAGAAGUGUGGACGCCAGUCUGCAUGGAGCCGACCUUGAAAUACCACCCUUUAAUGUUUGAUGUUCUAACGUUGACCCGUAAUCCGGGUUGCGGACAGUGUCUGGUGGGUAGUUUGACUGGGGCGGUCUCCUCCUAAAGAGUAACGGAGGAGCACGAAGGUUGGCUAAUCCUGGUCGGACAUCAGGAGGUUAGUGCAAUGGCAUAAGCCAGCUUGACUGCGAGCGUGACGGCGCGAGCAGGUGCGAAAGCAGGUCAUAGUGAUCCGGUGGUUCUGAAUGGAAGGGCCAUCGCUCAACGGAUAAAAGGUACUCCGGGGAUAACAGGCUGAUACCGCCCAAGAGUUCAUAUCGACGGCGGUGUUUGGCACCUCGAUGUCGGCUCAUCACAUCCUGGGGCUGAAGUAGGUCCCAAGGGUAUGGCUGUUCGCCAUUUAAAGUGGUACGCGAGCUGGGUUUAGAACGUCGUGAGACAGUUCGGUCCCUAUCUGCCGUGGGCGCUGGAGAACUGAGGGGGGCUGCUCCUAGUACGAGAGGACCGGAGUGGACGCAUCACUGGUGUUCGGGUUGUCAUGCCAAUGGCACUGCCCGGUAGCUAAAUGCGGAAGAGAUAAGUGCUGAAAGCAUCUAAGCACGAAACUUGCCCCGAGAUGAGUUCUCCCUGACUCCUUGAGAGUCCUGAAGGAACGUUGAAGACGACGACGUUGAUAGGCCGGGUGUGUAAGCGCAGCGAUGCGUUGAGCUAACCGGUACUAAUGAACCGUGAGGCUUAACCUU
rnacentral:rRNA from 1 species